AGCCCUAUGAGGAGCCCCCGUGACAGCCGCAGCCCUAGGAGGAGCGCUUCACCUGCCAAGGGGAGGGCCCGGAGCCCCACCCCUCCUGGCAGCAGGAGCCCUGCACCAAGGGAAAACAGCAGGAGCCCAAUGAAGGCUGACAGCCCUAAUAACAUGAGCCCAGCUGCAAAUGGUCGUAGCCCGAGCCCCAGGGACGGCGAAGACAAUGGCAACCACCGUGCACCCAGUGGAAGUGCAUCACCCGGUGGUGGUUGAGAGAUGGAUCGAAAUCCUUCCGGUGUUCACCCAGUUGAAGUUCACCUGGUGAGGGUCGAGAGAUGGAUCAAAUUCUUCCUACUGCUACGAAACUCUCUAAACAUGUUGAACAAAGACUUGCCUGUACGAGUUUGAUUUUAUUGUGUACUCUAUUUCGGUAUUGAUACUCCAGUCAGACCAUAAUAUCUGUUGUACUAUGUGCACAUGGAAUCAUUUUGCAGUUUCAAAUAAUCUUUUUGUGCUUAAUU
rnacentral:lncRNA from 1 species